rnacentral:rRNA from 1 species
ACUCAAAUGAAUAGACGGGGGCCCGCACAAGCGGUGGAGCAUGUGGUUCAAUUCGACGCAACGCGAAGAACCUUACCUAGGCUCGAACGGCUGGUCAACGACGGUGGAAACAUCGUUACCCCGCAAGGGGGUCCAGUCGAGGUGCUGCAUGGCUGUCGUCAGCUCGUGUCGUGAGAUGUUGGGUUAAGUCCCGCAACGAGCGCAACCCUUGUCCUGUGUUGCCAUACCGAAAGGUGGAACUCGCAGGAGACCGCCAGCGAUAAGCUGGAGGAAGGUGGGGAUGACGUCAAGUCCUCAUGGCCUUUAUGUCUAGGGCUACACACGUGCUACAAUGGACGGUACAAAGCGUCGCUAACCCGCGAGGGGGAGCCAAUCGCAAAAAACCGUUCUCAGUUCGGAUUGCAGGCUGCAACCCGCCUGCAUGAAGCUGGAAUCGCUAGUAAUGGCAGAUCAGCACGCUGCCGUGAAUACGUUCCCGGGCCUUGUACACACCGCCCGU